rnacentral:rRNA from 1 species
AGUUCGGAUCACAGUCUGCAACUCGACUGCGUGAAGGUGGAGUCGCUAGUAAUCGCGGAUCAGCAACGCCGCGGUGAAUGCGUUCCCGGGCCUUGUACACACCGCCCGUCAAGUCAUGAAAGUGGGCAGCACCCGAAGACGGUGGCCUAACCCUUGUGGGGGGAGCCGUCUAAGGUGAGGCUCGUGAUUGGGACUAAGUCGUAACAAGGUAUC